rnacentral:rRNA from 1 species
UAGGGAAUCUUCGGCAAUGGACGAAAGUCUGACCGAGCAACGCCGCGUGAGUGAAGAAGGUUUUCGGAUCGUAAAACUCUGUUGUUAGAGAAGAACAAGGACGUUAGUAACUGAACGUCCCCUGACGGUAUCUAACCAGAAAGCCCCGGCUAACUACGUGCCAGCAGCCGCGGUAAUACGGAGGUGGCAAGCGUUGUCCGGAUUUAUUGGGCGUAAAGCGAGCGCAGGCGGUUUCUUAAGUCUGAUGUGAAAGCCCACGGCUCAACCGGGGAGGGUCAUUGGAAACUGGGAGACUUGAGUGCAGAAGAGGAGAGUGGAAUUCCAUGUGUAGCGGUGAAAUGCGUAGAUAUAUGGAGGAACACCAGUGGCGAAGGCGGCUCGCUGGUCUGUAACUGACGCUGAGGCUCGAAAGCGUGGGGAGCAAACAGG